CAAAUUUCCUUUGGGAUCAUUGAAGGAGAGCUGUGGCCUGUCUCAUGGACGACUCCAUGAGAGUAUUUUCCCUGGAUCUGGGGGUGAGUAUCAGAUUUGAGGGGAUCAUGACGUGUCCCGUAAAAAAGUGUAAAGUUCACUUUUAAUCCCUAGGCGUCUUCAGUAGGAAUUCUCCUUGGGGUCUGACUCUUUCCUUUUUCAGCUUUUUCACAUGCUUGGGAAGUCACUGUGUGAGAAGAGAUGAGCACACAGAGCUCUGCACUCCCCUGUGGGGCUGGAAGGGCCGGUGGGAGCCACAGCCGGCUGGGGGCCGUGAGCCUGACUGUGCAGACUCUGCUGUCAGUGAGGGCAUGGAAUCCUGAAGGCAAAGGAGAUCAUCCUUGCCUAUCAGAGAACUGUAAUCUGGGACAUGUGAAUCUUUUACCCAUCUCUUCGAGACACCUGAAGACAGAGCUAAACCUUCUGUUUCCAGUGAUCAGGGGCUGGAUGAAGCCAGCCUCAGGAUAAUAAACCAGUACAAAGUUGGUGGAUGAAGGGAAAAUGGCACUUUUGAUGUCAUAUGUUUGAAGAUCGUUAAAACAUUUGAGUCUUCCAAGAAGUCUGAUUUGCAGAAUUGGCUGAGAAUGCCUGGAAUAGAAGCACACACCUGACAAAAAAGUUGGAUAAACGCUGCUAAUUGGGCGAGAGAAAGUGCUGGAACACUGAGCUGGCAGACCAGCCUCAGGAGGGGUCUUCCAAGGCACCAUAGCACUUUGGGCCUUAAAGAUCAUUAGCUCCAACCCUCUCAAUUAAGGAUAAAGAAACUCAACCUAAAGGAGACCAUGACUUCACACAACCAGGGCUAGAACAGUUGUAACUUGACACUUUGUUCUGUGGUGUAAGUGCUGGGUCUCCGCUCCACCCAGCAUCUCCCUCAUCUAGGAAAGGAAAUAAAUGGGCUCAAGUUCAAUUCUGAGAGGAUUCUAAAGAGAGAUGAUAUCGUUGCACCCUGUGCAAACAAGGCCUGAGACAUACGCCUCCCCGGAGGGGGUGGGCCUCGAAUUGGAGGUGAUGGUCGAGAAACACCUGGGAAGGUUCAUUCCAGGCCAUGCUCCCGAGGCCCCUGUGCAGUGUCCAGGCCACUUUCAAGGAUAUUAACUCACCAUGGCCAUGAAGGCAAUGCUGUCUGUUUUGCGGGUGAGAAAACAACAGAACUCGAGGAGGUUUGGCGAUGUGUCCAACUAAGGUCUAGCGUGUCAACGAAGGUCCAAGUGAGCCUGGAACCAAACCACCACGGAAGCUCCCAUCCUCCCAUUCCCUUACCCAAGUUCGGUGAGGCCCAGACCUGCCUGCACCCUGGUUCUUCCAGAAAUCUCCUUUCUUCCUCUGCCGGGCCUUUGCUCAGCUCUUGCUCUUCUGCUGUUCCCCAGGUGAUAAUUUCAGCUCCCAAGCAUGCUUCCUCAUUUGAGAAACAAAACACAGCCGUGAUGCCUAGUGUAUUGUGACCUAUGUGGAGGAGCAGGUGUGACCAUCACUGAGUCAGUGCCUAAUAAGAAGCAGCCACUGGGUUUGAUUAAUGUCUUUAGAAAAAGGAUAGUUUUUCUUACCCCAUAAUUGGCAUUACUGCGGAGGGAGCCAGAAGCUAGAGCUGAUGGAAGAAACCCUGGGACGGGGUGUCUUCCUCUCCUGUGGGACCUGCAACGCCUCGCAGAGCCAGCAGCAAUGCGCAGCCUCACUUGUGCAGAAUCGUCCAGUCUGUCCUCUUCCUACCUUUGCAGCUAAAGAUAGAACUCCUUCUGUUUUCUCUGAUUCGAGGAGCGGUCUCUCCAAACAUCCUGCCUGUUGUCCCCAAAGCAGAUCCACUCCUCACAGCGUGAAAUACUUUUUCUGGUUUUCCUUUUCUUUUUUUCCCAUUUUUCUCCCCCAGGUUUUGCAAAGUAACUGUGAAACCACCUCCUGCAGUGGAAUGAAUCUGCCCAGUGGAAUGAAUAGCCCAAGGGAUAUUUUUUUACCCUGAAUGACAACAGCUCCUCUAAGAGCGAAGUUUCUCUUUGCAGAGCUAUCUUACUGUUAUUUGGGACGGAUGGACUGUCAGGCUUUUCUGCCAGAAGCAGAAAUGCUAAUCAAGCCUUGAGCAGGAUGGGACCGGGACUCAAACUCCUUAAGGUGGCUGAGACCCACGUGGACGGCGGGUUUUGCUCAAUCUCAUUUGUGUAGGUCCUUCUGGAGCUGCGGCCUGUAAGAAACUCCGGCCGUCUGGAGAAUGUAGUUCUAACCGAGCUCAUGGCAGUACAUUUUUCACCAAAUUACAUUAGCAUAUAAAACCUGGGUUAUUGA